rnacentral:lncRNA from 1 species
GACAGUCUAACGCAAAAACCCUUAUCAGCCGCUGGGGUUUUAGCUUCAACUCUCUCUCUCUCUCUCUCUCUCUCUCUCUCUUCUUCUUCGUUACGUUACGUUACGUUANNNNNNNNNNNNNNNNNNNNNNNNNNNNNNNNNNNNNNNNNNNNNNNNNNNNNNNNNNNNNNNNNNNNNNNNNNNNNNNNNNNNNNNNNNNNNNNNNNNNNNNNNNNNNNNNNNNNNNNNNNNNNNNNNNNNNNNNNNNNNNNNNNNNNNNNNNNNNNNNNNNNNNNNNNNNNNNNNNNNNNNNNNNNNNNNNNNNNNNNNNNNNNNNNNNNNNNNNNNNNNNNNNNNNNNNNNNNNNNNNNNNNNNNNNNNNNNNNNNNNNNNNNNNNNNNNNNNNNNNNNNNNNNNNNNNNNNNNNNNNNNNNNNNNNNNNNNNNNNNNNNNNNNNNNNNNNNNNNNNNNNNNNNNNNNNNNNNNNNNNNNNNNNNNNNNNNNNNNNNNNNNNNNNNNNNNNNNNNNNNNNNNNNNNNNNNNNNNNNNNNNNNNNNNNNNNNNNNNNNNNNNNNNNNNNNNNNNNNNNNNNNNNNNNNNNNNNNNNNNNNNNNNNNNNNNNNNNNNNNNNNNNNNNNNNNNNNNNNNNNNNNNNNNNNNNNNNNNNNNNNNNNNNNNNNNNNNNNNNNNNNNNNNNNNNNNNNNNNNNNNNNNNNNNNNNNNNNNNNNNNNNNNNNNNNNNNNNNNNNNNNNNNNNNNNNNNNNNNNNNNNNNNNNNNNNNNNNNNNNNNNNNNNNNNNNNNNNNNNNNNNNNNNNNNNNNNNNNNNNNNNNNNNNNNNNNNNNNNNNNNNNNNNNNNNNNNNNNNNNNNNNNNNNNNNNNNNNNNNNNNNNNNNNNNNNNNNNNNNNNNNNNNNNNNNNNNNNNNNNNNNNNNNNNNNNNNNNNNNNNNNNNNNNNNNNNNNNNNNNNNNNNNNNNNNNNNNNNNNNNNNNNNNNNNNNNNNNNNNNNNNNNNNNNNNNNNNNNNNNNNNNNNNNNNNNNNNNNNNNNNNNNNNNNNNNNNNNNNNNNNNNNNNNNNNNNNNNNNNNNNNNNNNNNNNNNNNNNNNNNNNNNNNNNNNNNNNNNNNNNNNNNNNNNNNNNNNNNNNNNNNNNNNNNNNNNNNNNNNNNNNNNNNNNNNNNNNNNNNNNNNNNNNNNNNNNNNNNNNNNNNNNNNNNNNNNNNNNNNNNNNNNNNNNNNNNNNNNNNNNNNNNNNNNNNNNNNNNNNNNNNNNNNNNNNNNNNNNNNNNNNNNAAUUCUUUUGUUUGUGUUUCCUAGAUUUUGAGUCUUUCGUUUUGUUCGUUGUUACUGUUUCCUCUUCUUUUUUUCUUUUUAUAAUUUGAUGUUUUAGGAUUUUAUUUGCAUUUUAAUUUUAAUUUCGAAGAUCUAUAUGAUGUUUAUUUUUUAUGAUUUAAUCCAUUUGUUUGUAUUUCCUGGAUUUUGAAUCUUUCGUUUUGUUCGUGGUUACUGUUUCCUUCUUUUUUUUAAUUUGAUGUUUUAGGAUUUUAUUUGCAUUUUUAUUUUAAUUUCGAAGAUCUAUAUGAUGUUUAUUUUUUGAAUUAUGUAGUUCCUUUUUUUUGCUUCAAUUCGUUUGUGAUUUGAAUCUGUUAUAUUUUUGCUAGAUUCAUUGUAAUGAUAACAGUCGAAGAUUUAUUUAAUAAUUUUAUGAGAUUUUUUCCUUUUCUUUUAAGUUCGUUGUAUUGACUUUUUUGUUUUAUAUGAAUUUUUUAUAAAGUAAAUUUGUUAUUAGAUUUUGUUGAGAUAAUAAUUUCCAUUAGUUCAGUCAUUAAUCAAAUCAUUCCUCUUUUUUGUGUGUGUGUACGUUAAACUGUGAGACUGGAAUCAUUGUAUUGUUUGUUAGGUUUGAUAUAAUUAUAUAAAAUUAGUAGACUAUUUAGAGUUUUUGUUUUUAAUCUUUUUGUUUUUUCUUCUUCUUUUUUUUUUUUUGCAUAAAAUUACUAAUAGUCAAAAGUGAAUCUUGGAAUCUAUUAUAAUUGUUAUAUAUGAAAGUAAAAUCAUUGUAUUUCUUUUGGUAUAGGUAUCGUUUGAAUACUGCAUCUUCUAUUUUUUUUUUCAAUAUUUCAAACAUGAAUUGAAGUAAUUAAAAAUUAAAAUGUUUGUUUGAAAGAUAAAUUGCAUGGCUUUGCUAUUACAUGGAAUUGCAUAUUAGCAUUGAUAUUAGAAUUUGAGUCUUUCGUUCAGUUGUAAUUCCCCCAUGUUGACGAGGCUAAAGUAAAUAUUAAGAUCCCGUUUUAAUCUGUUCUUUGUUUCUGUUUAAUUUUGUUUAAUAAUGUUAGUGCAGAUCCUAGCUAACAGUGCAUAAUGGGUAAGGAGAAGGUUCACAUCAACAUUGUUGUUAUAGGACAUGUCGACUCUGGAAAGUCGACCACCACUGGUCACUUGAUCUACAAGCUUGGUGGUAUCGACAAGCGUGUGAUCGAAAGGUUUGAGAAGGAAGCUGCUGAGAUGAACAAGAGGUCAUUCAAGUAUGCUUGGGUGCUUGACAAGUUGAAAGCAGAACGUGAGCGUGGUAUUACCAUUGAUAUUGCCUUGUGGAAGUUUGAGACCACCAAAUACUAUUGCACUGUCAUUGAUGCUCCCGGACAUCGUGACUUUAUCAAAAACAUGAUCACUGGUACCUCUCAGGCUGACUGUGCUGUCCUUAUCAUUGACUCCACCACUGGAGGUUUCGAGGCUGGUAUUUCAAAGGAUGGGCAGACACGUGAACAUGCUUUGCUUGCCUUUACUCUUGGUGUGAAGCAAAUGAUUUGUUGUUGCAACAAGGUAGAAUUUCUUCUUCUUAAUUAAUACAGAGUUUUAUUAUUUGGUUUGUUUUUUUUUCUAAUUGUUCUGUUCUAUACAGAUGGAUGCCACAACUCCCAAAUACUCAAAGGCAAGGUACGAUGAAAUCGUGAAGGAGGUUUCUUCAUACUUGAAGAAGGUUGGUUACAACCCUGAGAAGAUUCCAUUCGUCCCUAUCUCUGGUUUUGAGGGUGACAACAUGAUUGAGAGAUCGACCAACCUUGAUUGGUACAAGGGUCCAACUCUGCUCGAGGCUCUUGACCAGAUCAAUGAGCCCAAGCGACCCUCUGACAAGCCCCUUCGUCUCCCACUUCAGGAUGUCUACAAGAUUGGUGGUAUUGGAACUGUCCCAGUGGGUCGUGUUGAAACUGGUAUCCUCAAGCCAGGUAUGGUUGUUACUUUCGGUCCUUCGGGAUUAACCACUGAAGUUAAAUCCGUUGAAAUGCACCAUGAGGCUCUUUCCGAGGCUCUUCCUGGUGACAAUGUCGGUUUCAAUGUUAAGAAUGUUGCUGUCAAGGAUCUCAAGCGAGGAUUCGUUGCUUCUAACUCAAAGGAUGAUCCAGCAAAGGAGGCAGCCAACUUCACCUCCCAAGUCAUCAUCAUGAACCAUCCUGGCCAGAUUGGAAACGGAUAUGCUCCUGUCCUUGAUUGCCACACCUCCCACAUUGCUGUCAAGUUUUCAGAAAUCUUGACCAAAAUCGAUAGACGAUCCGGUAAGGAGCUUGAAAAGGAGCCCAAGUUCUUGAAGAACGGCGAUGCUGGAUUGAUUAAGAUGGUUCCCACCAAGCCCAUGGUUGUGGAAACCUUUUCCGAGUAUCCCCCACUCGGUCGUUUCGCUGUGAGAGACAUGAGGCAGACAGUUGCUGUCGGUGUCAUCAAGAAUGUGGAGAAGAAGGAUCCAACUGGAGCCAAGGUAACCAAGUCCGCUGCCAAGAAGAAGUGAACCGAACAAAUUUUGGGUGAUUCAAAAAACCUCUAUUGUAGUGACUACAAUAGAACUUUAGUUGUGUCCUUAAUCCGAACUAUAGUUACAUGUUUUGAUGGUUAUCGUUUUAAGUUGUCACCGUCUUCUGGAGGAUCUUCACAGAACUGGGUUCUUGAUAGACGGUGGUGAGGCUUAAAUGAUGUCUUUUAUGUGCUCUUAUUUUCCAUUAUAUCAUUCUCGAAACUUUUUAGCUCAUUUCCUGGAUUCUUCUUGAAUGGUUUAAUCAAUAUUUUAUAUCAUUUUAAAUUGUUUUUCAUUUGUAUUAUCUCCAUGAUCCUUUUUAUGAUUUUUAUUAAUCUUUUCUAUCAUUUCAUCAGAAAAGUCUUUUUCUUCUCCGAUUAAAUUUCCUAAUUUAAUAUACUGUUUUUCAGGAUUCGGAAUUUCUUCUAAUUAAUUAUUAGAACUUCUUCCUAUAUUAAACAUAAAUAUAUAUUCAUCGUUACUAUCAGAAUCUGUUUCUGAUAUUAACUCAUAUAAAAUUUCUUCAGGAUUUGUUUCCUUUUGAUAACAUAUUUCUAAAUCUUGUUCUUCAAGACUUUUAAUUCUUUUUCCAACUUCUUUUCUUUUGGUAGAAAAGUUUUUGACUAUAUAAUCUAUUUUAUUAUCUAAAAUAUCUUUAAGUUCUUUAGAAGUUUUUCUUCUAGAAAACUGAUCUGUAAUAUAACCAAAAAAAAUUUUAUUUUCUAGUUUCCUUUUGACUUGUUUAUUAUAUUUUUUCUUUUUAUGCCUAUGAUGAGUAUUAGGUUUUACACCUAACCAUCCAAGUGAAGUUUUAUUAAUACAUUCUCUAUUUUUAGGAUUUUUCUCAUUAAUAGCUAAAUUUUUUAUAUUACUAGUCAACAUAUUGGUUGUAUAUUGAACUUUACUUAAAUCUUUAAUCAAAUAAUCAUCUGUUUGACUAUCUGAUUCUAUUUUUCUUUUUCAAUAUGGAUCUGGUGGUUCAGUAUCCAUAAGUUCUGGAAUAUUUAUAAUUGGGGGUUGAGAGUAUGAGCGGAAGGGAAUAUAGACUCUUUAUUAACAAAAGGAAAAUGUUACAAAAGAUAAAACUCAAAAGAAAAGUAUUUGGUAAUUUACAAGAUGUUAUACAAUUGGGCUUUCCUCCCUAUUUAUAGAGGAAUUCUAAAAAUUCUAUACAAUUGUAUUUUGAAUCCCGAACAGUGUUUCUGAUAAGGAUCCGGCUUCUUUGUGGAUGUGGUUGCUUCCACGUCUCCAUCUUUUUGCAUGGCUAUGGUUGAUUAAUAUUAACUCAUAUAAAAUUUCUUCAGAAUUUGUUUCCAUUUGAUAACAUAUUUCUAAAUCUUGUUCUUCAAGACUUUUUAUUAUUUUUCUAGCAUUUUUUCCUUUAUUAGGACAAUUACUAGCUACAUGACCAUCUUCAUUACAAAUAAAACAUUUACAAAUUUCUUUCUUUGGUUUGAAAGUCUUUUUCCUAACCACUUUUUGAUUUUUACCAGAGAAUUUUUUAUUACCUAGUUUCCAUUUUCUUAAUCUAUAUUUUUUACGUUUUUUAUAAGUGUUGGGAUAUAUUUGUUUACACCCAAAUUCCCAUUCAUUUUCUAAAAUUUUAGAACAAUAUUUAUGACUUAACUUAUUUUUGACUUGUUUAGCCACUUUACUUUGCAAACAAUGUAAAGUUAUUCUUUCUUUAAGAGUACUUAUUUGAAUAUAAAAAUAAUAGAAAAAAUCAUCAUUUUUUAUGAUGGUUUGUAGUAAAGAUUUAACAACUGCUGGAAAAUCUUUUAAAAGAUGAACAGAAAGAUUUUGUACUACUAUUUCUCUAACAAAUCCCCAUUCGAUACUUGUUAUAUCAAACGGUUCAUGAUCCAAUCUAAAUUUUAUAGCUGGAUAUUCUUUACUUAUAAAAUAAAGUCUUAAUCAAGUCUUAAUCAUCAUUAAAACAAUGAUGAUGUAAGCAGUGACAAAAGCGGCCGUGACACAAGCAGUGACAAAAGCGGUCAUAAAUGCAAGCAUGACACAUGGAAUCAACCAUAGCCAUGCAAAAAGAUGGAGACGUGGAAGCAACCACAUCCACAAAGAAGCCGGAUCCUUACCAGAAACACUGUUCGGGAUUCAAAAUACAAUUGUAUAGAAUUUUUAGAAUUCCUCUAUAAAUAGGGAGGAAAGCCCAAUUGUAUAGCAUCUUGUAAAUUACCAAAUACUUUCCUUUUGAGUUUUCUCUUUUGUAACCUUUUCCUUUUGUUAAUAAAGAGUCUAUAUUCCCUUCCGCUCAUACUCUCAACCCCCCCGAUUGGUAUCAGAGGUGCCGGUGUAACAAGUUUCUGGAGAAAUAAUAUCGUAAUAUUUAUUGUAAGUUUUUGUCUUUGAUUUACAUUUCUGUUUGUUUUACAGUUGUUUGUUUCAAAACCCAUAUCUGUUUAUCUGUCUUCUUGUUGCCGUUGAGUCCAGGGAGGACGUUAGGCGUUGUGUGAAGACGUUAGGAUAACAGGCCGGUCUUAGGUACUCGAGACAAACAUUAUGGAGCAAAUCGAGUGUCAAUUUAAAGAUAAAACUUGUGAUCAUAUUACGCAUAUAGACUCUAGAAACGAAAACAACGUUUCAUCUCUGAGUAAGGGUAUUAAUAGUCUUGUUGAUAUGACUUCUUUUUAUUUUGGUAGGUUAUUUAGUAAAGUAAGUUCUGUAGAAGAAAAAAUAAAUAACUUAGGUAAUAUAAAAGAUUUAGACUUAAACCAUGAGUCUAAAGAAAUAUUAACUAGUGUUAAUAAUAAACUAGAUCAGGUUUUAAAUAAUAAUAUCGAGUCCGAUGUAAAUUUAGGUCCUUUAUAUUACGGUAAUAGUCAAGAUCAUAUUUUUGUUUUAUCUGAUGAAGAAAACACUUCAUCUGAUGAGUUGUCAUCUAUGUUAAAAAAUUAUAAAAAACAUAAAAAAACGUAAAAAAGAUGAUACACGAAUAUGAUUUCCAGUCUUAUAAAACACUUAUAGAACAUUGGAAAGAAAAAUUUACUACUAGUAAUGAUCAACUAGAAAGAGUUGAAUAUUUAAAACUAAUUGAAGAACUUUAUGAAAAACAUAAAGAUCUUUUUAGUAUGUUUAAUUAUCAUUAUAUGUUAAAAUAUGAUGAUAGUAGUAGUUCGAGUAAUUCUGAAAAAACAGAAUUAUAUAAGAAACAAUCUGAUGAAGAAAAAACUUCAACAGAUCAGGAUGAAGACAUAAAAGUCUCAACUUAUAAUUCUAAUGAAGAAACCACUUCAUCUGAAGAAGUAGACGAAGAAAUAAAUAUUCCAGAACUUAUGGAUACUGAACCACCAGAUCCAUAUAGAAAAAGAAAAAUUGAGUCAGAUAGUCAAACAGAUGAUUAUUUGAUUAAAGAUAUAAGUAAAGUUCAAUAUACAACCAGUAUGUUGACUAGUAAUAUAAAAAACUUUACUUGAAUGGUUAGGUGUAAAACCUAAUACUCAUCAUAGGCAUAAAAAGAAAAAAUAUAAUAAACAAGUCAAAGGGAAACUAGAAAAUAAAAAAUUUUCUAGUCAUAUUAUAAGUCAGUUUUCUAGAAGAAAAUCUUCUAAAGAACUCAAAAAUAUUUUAGAUAAUAAGAUAAGUUAUAUAGUCAAAAACUUUUCUAACAAAAGAAAAGAAGUUGAAAAAAGAAUUAACAGUCUUGAACAACAAGAUUUAGAAAUAUGUUAUAAGAAGGAAAUAAAUCCUUAUAAAAUUAAAUCUGAUAAAAAUGAAAAAAUAUUUUUAUUAGAAAAUUCUAUAAACAAUAGAAUAAAAAAAGUACAGACUAUUAUCCAACAAAUGAAAAUUGGGAAAAAUGAUAUUAGUACUUUUUCAAAUUUUCAACCUAAAAAAUACUAUACUUAUAUUGAAAUUAAUUUUCAAUUUAGAGAAUAUAAAAAAUAUUCUUUACAUGCAUUAUUAGAUACUAGAAUAUAAAAAAUGAUGACUUUUUCUAUUAUUUUUAUAUUCAAAUAAGUACUCUUAUUGGUAUUUCUGAAAAAGAAAGAUUUUUUCAGCCAUAUCAAAUAUGGGAAAUUCGCAGAAUGCUCGGAAGCCCCCGACUAUCAGCUGUAAAUGAAGAUAAAGAAUACUUGGCAAAAACAAUUGACAAGUGUCAAGAAAAUUCAAGUUGUUAUCAAAUCCAAGCCGGUGUUGAUUUAAUGGCUAAAGCUAAAUAUCUUCUUCAAGAAAGAAAUUAUCAAUUCAGAACUGAUGGAAGAAGAAUAUUAGCAUAUCAUUCAUAUCUUAUUGAAGAAAAUGAUGAAGGCAUCAAUCUGCUAAAAAAGAUAGCAGACAUGAAUAUAGAAGAUUUUCCAUCUAACAUUCUGCAACAAAUCAGAAGUACAUGGGAAAAUUAUCAUCAAUAUAUAUCUACCAUUCAUCAUCUUGAGGGAUGAAUUAUGAUGGAAGCAACCGUUAAUCACAUCAAGAUAGAUUGAUGAUGCAAGCAAGAUGGAAGCAACCAUUAAUGCUUGAUAAAAACAUCCAGAUGAAGACAAAAAGUCUUAAUCAAGUCUUAAUCAUCAUUAAAAUAAUGAUGAUGUAAGCAGUGAUAAAAGCGGCCGUGACACAAGCAGUGACAAAAGCGGUCAUAAAUGCAAGCAUGACACAUGUAAUCAACCAUAGCCAUGCAAAAAGAUGGAGACGUGGAAGCAACCACAUCCACAAAGAAGCCGGAUCCUUAUCAGAAAUACUGUUCGGGAUUCAAAAUACAAUUGUAUAGAAUUUUUAGAAUUCCUCUAUAAAUAGGAAGGAAAGCCCAAUUGUAUAGCAUCUUGUAAUUUACCAAAUACUUUCCGUUUGAGUUUUCUCUUUUGUAACAUUUUCCUUUUGUUAAUAAAGAGUCUAUAUUCCCUUCCGCUCAUACUCUCAACCCCCCCCCCCCGAUUAUGUACUACUAUAAUGAUUAUUUAGUAAAAAAUUUACCUCAACUAAGGGUGUAUGUAAUUGAGUCGAGUCUAAGCAGAAAGAAGCUUGAGUUUAGAAUCAGUUUUGAAACCCGUUUUGAGUUUCUUUAAUGGCGAUUUAAUUUAAGAUUCAAAAGUAGUAUUUAAAUUGGUUUGGUUAAUGAUGGUUUCUAUCAUUCGGCUUCAGAGUUGGAUCUAAGUAGGAGUAGUUCGAGUUAAGGCUGAGUUUGAUAUUUUGUGAUAAUAAAUAAAAUGAUCUAUUUGAGUGAGUUUGAUUAGGUUUGUUUGUAUAGUGAAUGGGAAAUUCAAUUAUCAUGUUCUACCUUUAAAUCCAAAGCUCAAUUUCGGUAUUGGUUAAAAUAAUAAUUUAUCUUAAAAAUAAAGAAUUUUAAUUAAGUUCUUAAGUUAUUUAAACUGAAUACAUAUAGGCAAUUUUUUCACUUUUAAUCAUGUCGUGGAGUAUAAGAACUUCUCAACUAGGUUUAUUACUUCUUUUGCCUCUUGUAUUAAUAUUUUCACUUUAGUCCUACUAAUUUUUAAAUGAAUAAAUUUAUUUUGCUCAUCAUUUUAGCCACACCAUCAUUUCUAUUUAAGAAAAUAGAGAGGGUUAAAAUAAGAAUUUCACUAUAAUAGACGAAUAUGUGAAUAAGUAGAAUAUAUUUUAACAAAAAUGAUCAAGAUGCGAACAUGAUGAACGAAAUGAAAGUAAAAUAAUCAAAAAUAAUAAAAUAUCAAAGUUUUCAGUUUUCACUAAGUAUUAAAACUUCUAUAUAUAUCAACAAAUAUUAGAGGGGGAAGAUACUUUGGUUAUCUCCGCCUAGCUUAAUAUGGUGUCAAAUAUUAAAAUAGGAAUAAUCAGUAACAAAACGUGUCAUUUAAUCAUUUAUAAUAAAGUUCCAAGCAAACAAAAAUUUUCACUACAUCAAAACUGGCAAAGCAGCAGUAAAAUGAAAUUCCAUUUAAAAUCCAUGAAAGUUUGUAUUUCUCUGUAAUCAACAGGCUUAUUAUUCAAGCACUUAUCAUAAUCCUACCCUAUAGACCAUUCGUCUUAACAAUGAAACUUUCACGAGCUCCCGAGACCUGAUUCCCCACCUUUCAAAUGAUCAAAUCAUAAGUUCUUAAGAGCUGACUCAUGAGUUGCUUUCUGGGGUGUGAGUCUUGCCAACAAAGCCUUGUUAUGGCAAUGCUCAGCAUCUACAAAGUAGAAGUUCCCAUUGGCCUUAAAUGUCACGAAUGGCCUGUUGGUCUCGGCUGGACGGAUGUCUGCAAACUUAAUGGUUCGUGGAAUAUAUGUUGCUAACCAAGACAUCAUCUCCACCUCAAAGCUGUCUGAACCAGGCUGCCACCGGAUUUUGUGGAUGUAAGGGCUCACGAACCAGUGAAGUGCGGCAGUUGUUGUAGCACUAAGGAAUAUCACAGAGGAUGCUACUGCACCUUUCACAAUCACAUUCAUAUCAGGAGAAGUCAUGAAUGUAAUGACAGGGCCUAACGAUACCGAGAGGCAGCAGGUCGAAAGUGAAAGCAUCUUUACUUUCUUGAUUGUAGAAGAAAUCGGACCGUGGUAAACAACCCCGGCAUCCUUCUCAUUUUCGUCGUCUUCUUUGCUUUUACGAGGACCAAUGCUGAUUUUGUUGUCAUCCUCAGUUGUCUUAGCUUGAGAAGCCCAUCUUUUUUGGACACUGAAAAUGCUCGUUGCAUAGUUGAGGUUCGGCUUUGCAUAUUGGGUGCCAGACAGUGUUGCAAACCUACAACGAUAACCUAAAGCAGCGGAGAGAAGAAUAAGCAAGAGAAAAUGAUAUUGUCGCUUAUAUACUAUAAUUAUAGUAGAAAUAACAUCCAAAUCAUAGAACGCUAACAAGAAUCAUGACUGAAACAAGAUUUCAUGAAUUGUGUAUUAACAUGGAUUCAUGGAACUGUUGACCAUAACAUAUUAUUCACAAUCAAAUGACGCAGAAAUCAUGUAUACCUUUCCUGCAAUAAAAAACUAAGUUUUUGGUUACAAUUUUCAACUUAAUCCAUGGCAGCCUUCCUGAGUUGUACAUUUUCAUAGUUAGAGUCCUAUACAUUUUGAAGUUUGCUUCAUUACAGCUUGUGGAACAAAGGACAAAGGAUACUAAAGAAUUCAAGAAUCAUCAAAUCCCUGAUCUUUUCUCAUAUCCAGAAAAAAUGGGGUGGUUUAACUGUCUAGGAGUGGGGAAUGAUUCUAAGAAACAAAUUCUGAAUGUGGUUGGACAGGUAGAUCAAAUGCCAUAGUGACGAUAAAACACUAGUCACAUACAUCUAAUUUCACGAAAGAGAACUAUAAGCAAAGCAUAAGUAAUGGCAAAUUGAUGCCAAUUACAAGCAAACAUUUGCAAGCAUCAAGUUGGAGAAAGAUUUUCAUGAAUGAUUCAAUGAUGUGUGACAUUUCUUGUUUUUCGUACGACCAUACAAGAGCAGACAAAUGGUUUGGUUUUACAUGCCAAAGCUAUAAACCACCGGCUAAACGUACACAAGAUUAGACCUGGCAACUUUAGAUAUGACACGAGAGAAACAACUAAAAAUGACAUGAAAAAGUAAUGCAAAAUAUAACUUGGAUACACAAAUGAGCCAAACUCUAUAGAACACUAAUUACUAUAAAAUAUAUAACAUGCACGAGAUUAUGACAGAAAAAUAACACAAACACUAGAUGAUAUAAGCCAUCUUGGUCAAUAAAGGGAAAUUUUCAUGUAGGAUUCAAAGAUGUGCAACAUUUCUUGCAGUUUAUCAUACAAUAACACCCUCACUGCCCGACCUUGAGCAAUGGCGCUAUUGAUACUUGCAAGUAAACAGUUUGGUUUCACAUACUACAGCUAGAAAACACUAGCUACACCUUACUCUAAGAUUAAAACUGGUAAUUUUAUAUACAACACGAGAAAAAUAUCUAAAACAUGACAUGAAAUGGCCUGACUCAAAGAUAUGCUAAGUUUAUUGGUCUUUUUCAAAAACUCUAUCAUACAAUAACUCGAAGCCAUCACCCUUCUGCUUGGUCUUGAGCCAUGAAGCUAUAACAACUGAACUUGCAAGCAGUGAUUUGGUUUCACAUAAUAAUAGAGCUAUAAAACACCAGCUAAACCAAGACUAGAUAAUAAGGAUAUACGAAUGCGUCAAAAUCUAAAUAAUGUAAAUAAUUAACAUGUCAAAAUUUAUAUAAAAUAUGUAAUAACUUUAACACAGAAAAUAACACAAAUACUUGAUGCUGUAAACGAUUUCAGUCUUAUCGCAACACCAAUUCGAGUAGAUAAAGCACUUUACAAACUGAACCACUUCCUAUAACUAAAACCAAUUAAGAUUUUGGGUAUCUUUAAUUCUAAAAUUUUCAAAAGCCCAGAAUAAAAAUUGGCAAAUUCCAACAACAUAAAAACUAAAUCAUUUUUCCCUUACAUGUAUGAGUUUUUGUUAAUAAAACCCAAUUUCCAGAUCAAAGGAAAUGCCCCAAAUUUCAAAGAUUGAGAUCAGAAAUAGGAUUAACAAACAUGGGUAUUGAGGUUUUAGACUAAAUCAGAUGUUUAAACUUCACAUCUAAAACGAAUGAAGAACAAAACAGAAGGGGGGGUUCCUAAAUAAAGAAAAAGAGAACCUGAAUGGAUGUUUCUGGAAAUGAGUUGCUUGGAUUGGGAUCGAAGCAAGUGGAAGAGAGCAGUUCUCGCCAUAUUUCUAUCGGAUUUUGCAGGGAGACUGAAAUGUGUGAAUCGAACAAGGAUUCAUCUUGUAAGGGUUUUAGAUGGUUUUUGUAAUAUGUGAAUAUUUAAAAUAAUCUUUGGAAAACGUACUUCAACAAGGACAUUUGGUCUAGUGGUAUGAUUCUCGCUUAGGGUGCGAGAGGUCCUGAGUUCAAUUCUCGGAAUGCCCCAUUUCUUAGUUUUAUUAAGGGUAAAUUCCACACUAGGCCACUAAACUAUUAGUGAAUUUACAUUUUGGUUGUUCAAUUUUAAAAGGUUAUCACUGAAUUAUUCGAAAAUUUUCAUUUAACUCAUUGAGUUGUUAAAUUCAUUGAUGUAUGGCCUUAUUUAUUCAUACCGCAUUCACUAGUCAAAACUUUCCUUUCUCUUCUCUUUUACAUUUCAAUUUUUUAUUCAUUAAACAAUUUUGAACGUUAUGAAUCUACGAAUCAAAAUCCAAACAACUUUCUUUUCUAAUCUCCGACACUAAUCGUCAAAUCAACUUGGAUCUAUGUUUUUCUACUCGUCGAAGGGUAUUGAUCCAUUGUACCAAUCGUUGAAUUAAGUGACCAAAAUGGUCACUUGGAUCUAUGUUCUACAAAGUGGUCACUUGAAGCUUGCUAGAUAGGCUUUAAAAAAUAAUAAUAUUAGUUUAUUGACUUAAAUAAAAACUUUUGAAUAGUUCAACAAUCAUUUUGUAAUUUUUUGAAAAUGAGUGACCAAAAUGUAAACUUACUAAUAAUUUACUAAUCUUGGGGUAAUUUACCCAAAAAAGUAUUUAACUUCAAAAAAAUUAUUAUUUGUUAAUCAAAUAUAAUAAAACAACUCAAAGGAAUUUAGUUUAUGCAAAAACAAAAGAUAUUUAACUUCAUUAAUAUUAUUCGUUAAGAAUAAGUAAAGAUACAACACUGAAAUAAAACCAUUAAGUUCAAAAAACACUAACAUAAUAAUGGCCUAAAGACUAGAAAAAGCUUCAACCCCAAAACCCUAGCUAUAAUUUUUUUGUCGCCCCCGCCACAAGUAGAGGAAGAGGGAGAACACUAGGAAGAAAGAGGGUAGUGGAGGUUGCACCAAGCCAUUGGCACGCAUGCCUAUUGAUAAGAAUAGGAUAAUUCCUAUAAAUUUUAUCGUAUUUAUAUUGCAGUAGUCACGUAAAAAUAAGAAAGAUAUAUAAUAUAUUAUUAAAUAUACACUUAAAAAAUAUAUGAUAAUAUAUAAUAUAUUUAGAUAUUCUUAAAAGAUAAUAUCCCAUAAUAAUAUUCUAAUAACUACAAAUAGAGGCGACGUUGCAGUAAAAGUUUGUUGAAAAGGCACCAAAAUCAUUGUGAAGUAAGCCAAAACUUCAACUGAGGAGGAACGUCAAGGUAGCCACUUAGCCUUCGACCACUAGAAUAAGUUCUCAUGCAUAGACUCGUAACCUCCCUCAAGCUUCAUUCGUUGAGAUCCCAACAGAGAAUAAUAAUACCCAUAAAACUUGAAGAAUAAAGCUUUAGUGUAUCGAAACCCAUAAAUGAAAGGUAAAACCCAAAGAGACUAGAAACAACUCUUAAGUAACAAGCAGGGGUGAAGUCUAAAAUUUUUUUUAGUGGCCGAAAUUAUAUUGUAAUUUUUAUUAUAGUAAAAAUGUAAUUUUUGAAAGAUUAAAUCAAAAUAUUAUCAUUUUUAAGGAGGUCAAAGUGUAAUUUUACUUUUACCAAUUUAAAAUUUUAAAGGGUCAAAAUAGAAAAUUCUUCAUUUUAGGGGGGGCCGGGCCCCUGGCCCCUGCCAGCCCUCCUGAAUUCGCCUUUGGUAACAAGGCAAAACUUGAUGGUUGGAAAAAUAAUAGUGUUAUUUCGUUGUAAGAAAAACAAGAAAAGAAAAUAAGACAAAAAACUAAUUUUUUUUAAAAAACUAAAGGAACUAAAUUUUAAAUACAUUAAGAAUAUAAGAAUUCGGCUAAACUUGCUUAUGGGCCAUGUCACCCAUUCAGGCUCGAAGGUCCACUCGAAAAAUAGAUUUGGAUAAUAUUUAAGGCUUGUUUUCUAUAUGGACCGAGUAUUGGGCAAAAUUUUUGACCUAAACCUGGCCCAGCUUGACCCGAAUAUUAUGCUAUAAAACAAUAUUAUAUUAAUUAUAUAUGUUAAAUAAUAAUUAUAUAUAUUUAUAUUUAUAUUUAUAUUAAAUCACUAAUCCAAUAACAAUUAAACCUAUUGCUCAAGACCUAAAAAAUUUACCCAACUAAAUAACUUACCCAAAAUAUAAAAUUUUAAAAUUUAUAUUUAAUACAAUAAAGCAUUUAUUAUUUUAUUUAUUUUUUAAUGUAAUAAAACAUUUAUUACAUUUAGGAAAGUAUUUUUUUAAUAUAAAUACUUCUUAAUGUGUUAGAAAACUUUUGUUUUAGCUUUUUUUAGUGCACUUAGUGUAUUAUAUUUUUUUUAAAAAUUAAAUAAAAAUUAAUCUAAAAAAAUCAAAUAUAGACCGAUCAAGUCAAGCUCAAGUUUACUUUUCUUAAAUCUAAAAAAGUAAACUCAUUUUUUGGACCGAAUCUAGACUUAAAAAAGUGAUCUAAAUACCUUAUAUAAGCCUAACCUGAACCAGAUCUGGUCCAUAAACACCUCUCGUUUACCUAUAUUAUUUUUUAUAUUUUUUUCAGUAAAAAAAAUUAUAUUGUUAUGGUUGUUUAUACGUAACUAUGAAAUAAUUAUUUUUAAAAAAAUGAAAUAAUAAAACUUAAAAAAUUUCACACAUUAAUUAAAACCUAAAUUAAUUUAUUUGGGGGCCCAUAUACUACCCGGCCCAUGUAAAUUCAAUCCUAUCAUCUGUGAAUGUGUUAUCUAAUUUACCCAAAUUCAAUUCGGGUCACACUUUCGGAGGUAAAAUCGGCCAUUGAAGCUUCAAAAUAUGUCGAACCAUUCGCGAACUCAGUCUCUGGUCUUCGGGAUACCUUGGCCUGAACUCAACGAUGGCUUAUUCUAUAGCGACGUCGUUCCACAUUCCGAUUCCGGUCACUAAAUUCAUUUGUUCUCCUCCUUUUUCCUUUAAAUUAUGUUUUAUUUUUUAAACUGAAUAUUUUUCAUCUCUCUCUCUCUGUUUUGAUUUUAUAGAGCUUACUUUAAUAGAUUUUUACUCAAGGAAGUACAAAAAUUCAGCUCCUUUACAAGGGUAAUUUUAAAAAUUCUUUUAUAAUUAUAUCAAAUUUUCAAAAUUUUAUUUGUUAAUUCUCUUUUCCAAAUCAUUAACGAUUGAACAGUUGGUUGCAGCGAAUUCAAAAUGGACAGGUAGGUUUCUGAUAAAAAGAAUUAAGUAAUUAAUAAAAAAACAAAAAAAAAAUCAAUUUUUUGCUUUUUUUUUCAGAUAUCAGUUGAUGGAAGAGUCGUUAAAGAUCCAAAUACGAUUCUCAGGUUUUUUUUAUUUUUAAAAUUUCGUUCUAAUCAUUAUUUUCCAAUUUAUGUUAAUUUUUUUAAUUCAUUUUUUCUUUUUUCUUUUUUUUCAGUGGUGAUUCAGUUUUAGUUUACCAUAGGCUUCCAUGGAAAGAACCUGAUGUUCCUCACUUGCUUGAAGUUCUAUACGAGGAUGAUGACAUGGUAAAUUAAUUAUUUUAAUUAUGUUUGGUAAAAAUAGAAUAAAAUCUGAAUACUGGAGUGUUUUUUUUAAUUAAUAUUUAAUCAUGAUUAGUUCAACUUUUAUAAUCCAAGAACAAGUAGGGGAAGAUAUGAACUUUAAUUUCCUUUUAAUAAAAUCAUUACCCGAAACUUCAAAAUGUCUAAAUUGCUAUGAAAUAUUAAGGUUAUCAGGGCUCAGGACUUGGGGUGUCAUUGUCAUACGAGUAUGUGUGUAAGACAGGUACACUUAAUUUUUAUUAAGCUUUUGCAUAAAUUCGGAGGACCAUUUUCAUAUGUUGUAACCAUAUCCAAGUAUGCCUAGUCCUACAUGCUAUUUUAGAGUAAAUGAAGCGUUCGGGGUAAUAUAGGAAGAAAAAAACAAACAAAAAAAAGAUGAACUCAUGAAUUUGUAUGCAUAUAUUUUUGUUUAUGACUGUACCAUCUUUAAUCUAUGAUGCUCGGACAGGCACAUGUUCUGGUGGUUAUUCCAUAUCUUUAGAGAGUCGACAUUUUCAUUUUCCCAGUCCAUUCUGCAACAUACACAUCAUACUUUUAAGAGAAAACUUAACAGUCACAGUGACAUAAUUGUAAUCUAUAUUGCUCAAUCUCUUCAUUUUCUACAUUAAGUACACUGGAGUUUGGUUAAAAUUUCUUGUUAACAAAUUAUUACUACCAAAUUCUAGUAUCGCAUUUGGAACUAGAGUUUGACGUUUGAUGUAAAUUGAAAUGUUUAUGUUUAGGUUGCUUUAAACAAGCCUUCUGGUCUUCAAGUUUUGCCUGGAGGCCUUUUCCAGCAACGAACUGUUUUGACACAGCUUUGUUGGAGUGUAAAGAAGCAGAACUCUACACUAAACAGUCAAGAAACACAUCCUGUUCCUGUUCAUCGCCUAGGAAGGGGCACAUCAGGUUCGCAUACCCAUUAUUGCCUACUCGAUGUGGACAACAUGACCAAAGCAUUAUAUUUCUUUAUGUCAUUGCUUACUUGUGCAUUGCCUAGGAAGGUGUUAGUCAGUUUCGUAUACUCGUUACUUCUUACUUGAUGUAGAUAACAUGACAAAUGCAUUAUAUUUCUUCAUGUUAUUGCUUACUCAUGCAUCACCUAGCAAGGGGUACAUCAAGGUUUGCAUGCUCAUUAUUGCUUAUUCAAUGUAGACAGCAUGACCAAGACAUUAUAUUUCUUCAUGUUACUACUUACUCUUGGAUCGCCUAGGAAGGGAUACAUUACAUUUGCAUACUCAUUGCUGCUUACUCAUGCUGACAACAUGACCAAGGCAUUAUAUUUCUUCAUGUUAUUGCUCGAGAGUAAGACGUAAAGCAAAGGCUAGGAAGCAAUAAAUGGAGAAAUAAAAAGCUAAUGUUGUAUUUCUUUUGCAUCUGCAUACUCUAUCUUGAGUUGACUAAAAAAUCUGGCAAUAGUUUGUUGCUGUUUAAGUAACUACUAUUUUAUUGUUUCUUCCAUAGAUAACCAGUUAGCCUCUGUUACUUGGACUCUGAUGUCUGUCGGAUACUGGUGUGUCCGGCAUGGGUAUGUUCAAAAUUUUCUUUUCAGUUUUUCCAUAUAAUUAGCGGAUCCUAUAUCAGUACCCAUGUCCCAAUGUGUCAGAUAUGAGUGUCAGGCAUGGUACUUAAAGUAAAAUAUAAAGUCAGGGUAACAUAGCUGUUAGAAGUUUAUUGUUCUUGCUACGCGUUGUUUCUUGCCUGUUUAUGUGCUAUUUUCCUUUCCCUUAAUUUUCUAAUAAGUUAUGACCGACAUGAAUUCUGAUUAUUAUUGUUGUUGUCAUAUUUUUGUGGGUUGAUCUCUUGCUGGUUGGCUUCUAGGAAUAUUACUUUGUGCAAAGACAAAAGUUGCUAAAACUCGCCUUGCAGCAUAUUUUGCUGAUGGAACAUCUCUUGUUGGAGCUACCAGGUAGCAAAGGAAACCAAUUGGUAUCAUACUAGUUUCCACUUACAGUUUUGACUGUGUUACUUGGACAUUGGUGAGAGUGUUAGAUACAUGCAUGUGUCUAUUAUGGGUAUGUUUAGCUUUUUCUAAGUUUUUUAAUAUAUUUGAAAGGUUCUAGGAGGAUCAUGUAUCCCCAUUCCCCAUGUCAGAUAAUCUAUCAGACAUAAGUUUCGAACAUGGAUCUUUUAAGAAAAAUAAGUCAAAGCAAUAAAGGCUUUUCAAGUGAAAAAUAACUAUUUUUAUUACUGGUAGCUCUUCUUAAAUAAAUAAUAAUUUUUUACAUAAGUUUCUUUCAGACCUGAUUAUUAGAAAUUAAGCUUCAUGUCUCAGUUAGUGAUUUUUGUUGCAAGUUACAGUAACUAUGUUGAAAGAUUCUGUAAUCCCCAAGUAUCUGAAAAUAAGUUUAAGUCUAAAUUCAAUGGGAAUUUAAAGAUGAUAAUGAAGGAAUUUCACUAUAUGAUGGAGUAAAAAAAAAAAUGAAGUUAAAUGUACAUAGUUUGAUGUUGUCAAAAUUCCCAAAGAAAACUUGCAAUAGCUUGGAAGAAAGUAAAAGGCAUUGGAAGAACAGCGGCAAUAUGAGUAGAGCCAUUAGUGGCUCAGGAAGUUACUGAUGAUUUUUAGUUAAAAAGAGCAACUUUAGGCAAAGCAGUGUAUUUAGUUCUCAAUCAUUUUACUUGGACUCAGAUGUGAGUGUUAAAUACGAGCAUGUACCCGAAAAAGGUAUGAUCAGAUUUUUCUAGGAUUUUCAUGUAUUUGGAGGGUCUUUGAAGUCAUAUCCAUUUGUCAAAGAUGAAUGGCAGACACAGGUAGUUAAACGAAAAUGAUGAGUUAGAGCACAUGGGUUAAAGUUAGACCAUUGAAGAAAGGAAUAUUGAAGUGCAAUGGCAUGUGGUUUACUGAUUAAGCUAUGUGAUAUAACUAGCUUGAGUAAUGAAGAUGGAAUAAUUUGUUAAAUCUACGGUACAGAUUGAAUCAUGUCAUUUUAGAGCUUUCCUUUUAUAUUUAUAAUUGUAUUACUCAGACUCAUGUGUAAGUGUUGGAUACGAGUAUGUGCCCAUCAUGUUCAAUUUUUUCUAAAUUUUUCAUGUAUUUUGGAAGGUCCUUGGAAGGUUAUAUCUCCAUAUUUAUGUCCAAAUGUGUCAUACAUGGGUUUCGGGCAUGGAUACAUCAAGCAAAAUUAAAAGUUUGAGUAACAUAGAUUUAUAAACCUCUUUCCAAAUUUUAACCAUAUGUAAUUUCUGCCGACUGUUCUUACAUGUACAGUAAUAGGAAAGCUGCACGAAGUGGUACCAGGAAAAUAUCAAAGAUAUACCGAGCACUUGUGACUGGCAUACUUGUUGAUGACAAGGUAAUCUUACAGAAUACUUUUGCUCAUAAGAAUGACUAUGGCUUCUUAUUUCUAUUUGUGUUUUAUCCUUAUAAACACAUAAUAUUGGUGAAUUUGGUCAUCUGCAUCCACUGACCUUGCAUCUCAGUUGAAAAUUUUCAUGGCAUAAAGGCUUUAUGUCAAUUGAAUAAUGUUUUUGCAUCACAGGUUAUCAUUGAUCAGCCUAUUGGAAUUGUGCGAUAUCCCGGAGUGGCCAAAGGACUAUAUGUUGCUUCACCCUCAGGUUUGUUUGUAUCUAACAUCAUCUGUUCAACAGAUAUCAUCUUUGAAGUUCAAUAUAGUUUAUAAACCAUGGAUUUAAAGGACCAGUACUGGCUUUUCAUGAAGUUUUAGACACUGAGUUGUAAGAUUUAGUCUAUGUUACUUGGGCUCGAGUGUGAGUGUUGGGUACGAGUAUUUGUCUAUCAAGGGUAUGGUCAGAAAUUUCUUUAGUUUUUUCAUGUAUUAAGAGGAUACUUGUAGGUCAUAUCUCUAUAUUCAUGUGUCGGAUACGAAUGUUGGACAUGGGUAUUUUAAAAAAGAUGAAGAAUCAGAGCAACAUAGGAUCGAGUUACUUUUUCAUGAUGUGCUUGUACACUGAGCUUAAGUAUCUGUUCUGUUAUUGGCUUGUAAUUUGUCACUUUUUUUUUUACUUAUUAGGGAAGCCUGCUUUGAGCAAAGUUGAAGUUCUUGAGAGAGAUGAGAAACAAAACUGCACAUUGGUUCAGGUAUGUGUGACCAUGACUAUUUAGGUGGUUAUGAAGAAGCUUAGAUAGAUUUUUGUUUUAAUUUGCUUUUACUAAUGUUUUAAGUUACGUGUUUGACAGGUUGAGAUUGAGUCGGGACGGCCUCACCAAAUACGGAUUCAUCUUUCGUUCAUAGGGCAUCCCUUGUUGGGUAAGAACUGAAGUAUUACUUUGUUUAUAUAAAUUCAAUAGUGAAUGAAAUCUUUGAGUUCUUUUUUUAACUUAAUGCAGCCAUUUCUAAACGAAAAUGUGCCACAAAUGACAUUUACAUUUCUCUGACCAUUUUUAUUUAAGCAUCCAUGUCCACACAUUUUGGGACAUGGUUAUGGGUAUGACCCUCCAAAUACGUGGAAAAAACCUGUCUUGGACAAAUACUAUAAGAUACUCACAUCUGAGUUUAAAUAACAUAUAAUGGUGUGUUGUAUAGAGGCUGUUGUUGUUGUUGUUCAACUGAUAUGUUUUCGCCAACUUAUCAGGUGAUCCGCUGUAUAUUGCUGGGGGCGAACCAAGGUGUUUUGACCCUGAGCUUGUUGAUGAAAGUUUUGCACAAGAUGGGUAUGACUACAUUUGCUUGCAUUUCCUUCCUGAUCUUGUAUGAUUAAUACGAUGAUAAUAGCAUCUUCUCUUCUGUAUGAACUUUUACUGUGAUUUAGAUUUACCUUAAAGUUUGAUAUCUAACUUGUAGAUACCAUAUUUUGUCUGAGUCAAAUCUCAAUUUGUAACCAAGUUAUGAGAGAUGGUUGAGGGUUUGUACCCAUUAGGCACGAUGUGACAUAACUCUUAUUAGUAUCUGUGGCAUUGUUUGAUUGACCUGUCUCACAUAUUCGGGUAUAAGUAUGAGAUGUGAUCAUCUACACUUGUAAAUACAUGACAAAACCAUAGAAAAAAAAAUUAAACAUAUCCUUGCUGGAUGAGAAAAAUAGGUUAAUGAGGUACUUUGUUUAUUAACCAUAGUAGAUGUUUAAUUACCUAUGUAUUAUUAAGUUGAGAGUUGAACAAACCUCAGUUGGUGCUCAAAUUAUGAGCGAUGGUUAAGGUUUGUACCCACUUAAGUGCGUUGCGACAUAACUUGUUAGUAAAUAAUAGUUAUUCAUAAUCUCUAAGCUCGUAUGUUCUCGUUUAGCACUGUUUAAUUUACCCCUGUUACAUCUUUGGACAUGGGUAUAGGAUAUAAUCUUCUUAGGAUCUUCCAAAUAAUAAUUAUUCGUGGUGAACAUAUAUCUGUAUAUGAUAUUGAUAUUAUUUUAGUUCUAGAAGUAUGCAAGCCUGGAAAUGAGUUACCGAACUGCCGAGUAUUUAAAAUUGUCAUGACAGAGGGUACCAGAGGCCUACGAACCCUGUACCAGGAGACUGCGGCUAUUACUUGCAUGCUCAUCGACUUGUUCUUUCGCAUCCAACCACAAAUGAGGUAAGUCCAUAAGUUACAAUGGUUUAACUUUUAUUUUUGGAAAUACUCUGUAUCCGAUGAUAUCUAAGGGUGAUAAAGGUCCGAUUUGGUUUCAAGGGAAAAAAAAGUGAUGUUAAUGCGUAGUAUUCUGUCUUUUAAAAGCUGAACCCAAAUUGAAUUGAAUGUCAUAGGUAACUGAACCGAAUUCUCUGUUCAAAUCAGUUCGGUUCUUUGUUUUUUUCGAACUUUUUGUCAAAAAUAUAUUCUGUAAAAUAUUUUAAAGGUUUUUUUUCACUCAUUUAGAAAUAAAAUAUCUAUUUUUAUAAUAUGAAACUUAAACAUUAAUUAUAAAAUAAAUUUUGGUUCAGUUCGGUUUGGUUCAAAUAAUGAGUUUUUUAACUUCUGAAUCAGAAACCGAACUAAAAAAAAAAAAAGAGUUUAUCUGAACUGAAAUCAAAAUCAAAAUUGAACCGAACACUAUGUUUCCGAGUAGUUUUUGAUUUUCUUGGUUUUCUGGCUCAGGUUUAUGCAUAUUUGAAAACGAGUGUGGGAAUAGAAUCUCUCAACAUAACCAUAUAUUGUGUUAGACACACACUUAAAUCCAAGUAACAUAGAUCAUAAGCAUAUGAAAUCGACAUUUGGUUUCCUAGUAAACAUGCACAUCUAUCCAUAUGCGUACCAUUUACUUUGAUUGUAAUAUCACUACUAUCUUCGUAACAAUUUACAUGUUCAUUGUUUACAUUCUUGUUGCAGAUGAUUUACAUCACCGCGCCACUUUCCACCAUCCUUCAAACGUCAGAUGAGGCCAACGGCUCGCCGGGAUCCGUAUCCAUCAACUCAGGUAAUUGAGAAAACAUCGCUCAUUUAAUGGCCUUUUCUACUGGCGAUGCCGGUAAAAUUCGAUUACUCGAUCAUCAAGAGUAGUGUUUUCUUUUUUAUUAGAAUUAUCAUCACGGGUAUAGAUAGGGGCAGGCAACGACCUUGGCCCCCAAAAAUGGUGAAACCACCAUUUAAACUCUUCAGGUUUUGUGAAAUUACAAGAUAAGACCUCUCAAAAAGUUAUAAAUCAUUUUUGACCCUCAAAACAAUUUUCUGAUUUCACCAUGUAUCAUCAUUUCAUGGGGAAGGGUUCCAAUAUCUAGUAAUCUUUGUAUUUAAGAUACUAUAGAUUAUAUAAAUCUUAAUUAUUAUAUAAAUAAUUUAUAUUCCUAUAAAAUAGGUUAUUUAAUAUAAUAUUUGUAGUAAGGAAAUAAUUUAAAACUUGACGUGUACGAAUUUCAUAGAUUGUGAAAAUAUUAAUAAUUUUCAGCGUUAAAUUAUUUACAUUAGUGCAAGUAAAUCUUCCAAUAUAUUUGAAAAGUAUAUGUAAUAUGGAUCAAAUUAAUUAAUUUUGUAUAUUUGAAUUUUUUAGGAUAUAUAUAUUAUAUUAUAAAAAAAGUUGUUAUUAGUACAAACAAUCCUCUAAUACUACUUAAAUUUUAGUGUUUCUAGAAAUUUUACAUGGAAGUAAAAUAAUAUUAUGUUUUCUUACAAUAUUUUCCUAACUUAUAUAUUUAUAGUUUUAUUAAAAUAUUAAUAAAAAUGAAAUGUAUUUUAAUUAACGCAUCAUCAUCUCAUGUAAAAUGGUUUUUAAUGCUAUCUAAAUUUUAAAAUUGUUUCUGUAAAAUUUAUAAAUGUAAUAUAAUCAAAAUAUUACAAAUAUAUUAUAUUUCAAAUAAUUUGUAUUAGCCCUGAAAUAAAUACUUUUAUUACCCAUUCGAUUUUGAUAUAAAGUUGAUCUGUAUGAGGAUUGGCAUUCCAUUAAGGUUUUUUUUUUUUUAAAUUCGAGUUAUCUCGAAUUAUUAUUCAAUAAUAAAAAAUAUUAAAUAAAAUUAAUUAUAAAAAUAGAUAAAAUUAUAUAUUUAAUAUUAAAUGAGUGGUAAUUUGGGCUUACGGGUCAAGUUGGGCAUAAUACGAGCAUGGGGCAAAAAAUGUAUUUUUCGCAACUUAAUUUGAGGCAAAUCUAGAUCAAGUUGGUUUAUAGCACGGAGGUUAUUCAGUCUAUUAAAGUAACAUUCUUAAGGUCUUCUUAUUUAGCAUUUAUCAAUCGUAUUUAGCAGAUUUUGUUGGAAAUAGUUCAACGGAAAUUUGUUCAUAUUCCUAGAGAAGAAAACAUAGAAGUUGAUCACAUCGCAAAGUUGGCUUUCGACAAGAAUGAGGGACUGCAGUUGUUUGCAGAGAAUUCGCCUAAUAGUAGUUUAACGUGAUUUUUUUGAUGGGUUAUCUUUUACACCAAAAAAUAUGAUUUAAUUAAUAGAUAACAUUUUAGAAUUUGAGUAUAAAAUAAAUAUCAAUUUAAAGCAUAUUUAAAUAAAUUUAUUGAAUUUUAAAUAAUAAAAGUUUAACCUAGAUUGUUACAAGGAAUUAAAUUAUUCAACUGUUGACAUAAAACUUACGUUUUUUACAUUUUUCACAUUUAACUCAUUUCCAUGUAAAACCUCAAAAAUUUUUUAUUGUAAAACCUCAUAUUUUUCCUUUCAUUAAAAAAAUUUAAAAGAUAAAUUGAGUUUUCCUUGUAAAAAUCUAAGUUUUCCUUAUAAAUAUUCAGGUAAUUUUCUAUAAAACCUCAUGUUUUUCCUCUUAUUAAAAAACUAAAAUUAAUUAUUAAAAAGGAACAAAAAUAAAGGAAAUGAAAAAGAUAAAUGAUUUUUUCUUAAAAAUCCAAGUUUUUAUAAAUCUUUCCCUUCCAAAAAAUGAAAUUAGUUCUAAAAGAAAAAAAUAAAAUAAAAAGAUAAUGGUUUUUUCAAACCCAGACUUUCCCUCUAAAUUUUCAAAUUUCUUAUUUAUUAAAAAAACUAAAAUUAAUUCUUAAAAAUAAGAUAAAAUAAAAGAAAUUAAAAAAAGAUAAAAUAAGUGAUCAAAAUGAACACUUAUUAAAAUUGGGCGAUUAAAAUGAGUAUUUAAUGACAAAUUAACGGCGAGUGACUAAAAUAAUAAAAGUAUGUAGCAAUAGUGGCUAAAAUGAUAAGAGAAUGUAACAACAAUGCCUAAAUUGCAUUUUAUUUUCGGUCCCAAAAUGAAAACGUAUGAAAGUUAAGUGAUCAAUUGUGUAAUUUACCUUUGAAUUUAUGAUAAAAUUAAAAAACUACAUAAGUACAUUUGGCCUUACAUAUUAUAUAUACUAGAUUAUGCCGCCACUCAUAAAAAUAAAUAUUUUAUGUAAAAAUAUUUUAUUUUAAAAUUUAUUCAACAACAACUAUAGGUGAAGUGAUAAAGAAUUUGUAAGUAAAUUUUAUUAAACACGUUAUCGGUAUUUGGAUUUGUAGUUUUUAGUUCUUUUAUUUAAAGAUUAUAUAAAAGUAUGGAAAGACAAAAACAUCAUCAAAUUAAUAUUAUUUAUCAUUUAAAAGAAAGAAUAUAUUAGUCUUUUUCCAACUGAAUUGAUAUCCAAUUAAUCCGUGACAUCAAUUCAACCAAAUACUUUAUAAUAUUUAAAAAAAAAUGUAACAUACUGUAAAUAAAAAUUGAAAUUAAAAGAUAUAUGUUUGUAUCAUGUUCUUAUUAUAUUUUUGCUUCAUUUUCUUUAAUUGAUUUUUUUUAAUUAUUAUAUUUACUAGUAUGGCAUACCGCAUGCUCAUGUAACAAAUAAAUAUAUUUAAAUUUUGUAUAAAAUAUAAAAAGACAAAAAAAAAAUCUCAUAAUAUAUUUGAUAUCUUAUAAAAUGAUUUAAGUAUUUGAUAAUUUCCUAACUGAGUUGAAACUCAGUUGAUAAUCGAGACUCAACUCAGUCAACCACUUAAUAUAUAAUAUAAUAUUUAAAAUUUAUAUAAUUUUAACUAUUAUUUAACUGAUAAUUUUGAGAUGGUAAUUUAAAUUCAAAAUUUUUUUAAAAAAAAAAGAAAGAUAUUUAUCAUUUACCCCUCUUGGCUAAAUGGGUAAAUUAUUCUUUAGGCCCUCCUAAAAGUAAAAGAAUUAAUUUAGGCCCAAUCUUUGGUUAAAUGAAGAAGAAUUUUAGCCUUUUUAAAAAAUGAAUAAUCUAAAAUCUAAACAAUUUUAAUACAAAAUUUUUAGUUUUGUGCCCUCCUAAUUUAUAAUCUUCUUUGCCAUGCACAAAUGCCACCAAAUGAGGAGAAAAAUAAUUUGUUCGUAAUCGCAAUACUAGAAGGAUUUAGAAACAAACUAGAGAUACAUCACUUAAAUCAACUUUUGAUAAUUGGAUCCUAACCUCGUUAUAAUCAGAUAACUUGACAAUGAACUCUGAUCAAUCAAAAAACCAUUACUAAAAGCUUCAACAAACCCACCGCAUCAAUGAUGCAUGAAAAGAUAAGUCUCAAAUGACUUAUCCUCUUCUCCAUCAUCUUGAAAUCCAAUUUUGAGAGCACCAUCACAAAACUCUAUCCCAAUGAGGUCCUAUGAAAACUAUUCCCAGUAUAUCUAACAGUGCCCUUCCCUUGAUAAAUCACAUGUAUAUAUUAGAACACAACUGAAAAAAAAAAAAAAAAACUACCACUACUUUCAAAGAGAAUAGAAUAGAUAAGAACCCCAUUGCUUUAAAAGAAAGCAAAAUGAAUUAUUAUUAUUUUUGGUACAAAGGAAGUAUUAAAUCAAAGAUAAAUUAGAGAAGACGAUUCUCCUCCAUCUUAAUCAUCGUGCAAUAACUACAACACUUCAUCCGAUGGUUGCAUGUAAAUAUGUCUCCUCAAAGGUCUUAAGAAUGUCAUUUUUGCCAAGCCAUCCGCAACCUUAUUCUCCUCUCUGAACAUAUGCCUAACGUGAACCAUCCAGGAACGUUUGCAAAGGUCCUUAAUGGCACGCCCCACAACUGAAUAAGUUUGUUAAUCUUCAUUUGCUUGGAUCACUUCGAUAGUUUUAAUCCUAUCCACCUCAAGUAUCACCUUCUCUAAACCAAGAUUCCAUGCUAGUUGGAGCCCCUUAAGAACACCCCAAAAUUUAGCCGGAACCACUGAACAACAAUCAAUAAUUUUAGAAAAACCAACUACCCAAACCCCUGCUGCAGUAAUCUUGGACAAUUGGCAAAUUGCACCAUCAAUAUUAAUAUUCCAAAGUGAAUUAUUAUUUAUGUACAGGUAAUGCCCAAAAAUUUAAGCUUGGAAAGAGAAAAUCCAAAGAAGGAAAUGAGAAAAAAGGAGGCAUUAAAUUGUUAUUGCCUAAUGGAACUCAUUUUCUCAAAUAAAAGGAAAAAGAAAUUUUUUGUUUUUGUUUUUGUUUGGCGAGGAAAAAAAAGUGAAAGGAAAAUGAAAACAAAAUGUUUUUUUACAUUUUUUAUGAAAAAUAAAUAUUAUAAAACCUAUAUACACACACAAAAUAGUUAACCCUAUUUUGAAGGAAUUAAGGGUGAGUUUGGAUGGACGGUGCAUUUACCUAUAAUUAAUGUAAAAACAGUGGAGCAAUGAGCUUAGAUGCUAUAAUAAUAUUGUAAUAUAAGACAAAAAGUAAAUUAAACUCACCACAUCAUAUCUAAUCGCCCAUCCAAGGCUCUUCUCUUACCCGAUAAGUUGGGAGGUUAUCAUGUCAACUCCACUGGGCAAUCAAUAACACGCAAACCCUAAUUUGAAGACUUGGUGGGAUUUAAUAAAAUUAAGAAAAAAGGGGCCUAGAAAUUUAUUAGGAAAAUGACACUAUUAAAGUCAAUUUCUGUAUGAGAUUUUUAGGGAGGUCUUUGACUUUUAUGAAUAGCUGAUAUAUUAAAUUGGGAUAAAUUUCAAAAUUAUAUAUGAAUUUUGAUUCAAUUUAUAAUUUGAUACAUAAACUUUGAUUUAGAGCAAUUAGACAUAUGAAUCUUUGGUUGUGGUUCAAAAAUAUACAUAAAACUUUAAUUUUGAUUCAAUCAUACACAUUUUAAAAAACAAAUACAUCAAUUUAUUUUUAUAUUGGAUAAAUAUAAUUAUAUGUGCAUGUAUAAACAUAAAAUGACGUUAUAUAAAAUAUUGUGUUAAUAAUUUGUGAUAAUUGAUUCAAAUCAAAAUUUUAUGUAUAAAAUUGCACAAAAUUAAAGUUCCUGCAUAAAGUUGCACAUUAAAUCAAAAUUCAUGUAUAGUUUUGAAAUUUGUCCCUAUUAAAAAAAACAUGGUAGAACCAUAGAAGACACUUGCAAACGAGACAACCUGUAAGUAAUGCAUGUUGUCCGAUGGUGGAACUUGACAUUAAGUUUUAGAGGUUUAAUUAAAAUUUUCAACUAUUUUAGAGGUUGAAUAAGAAAUUUUAAAAAUUUUAGGGGGAAUAAUUAAAAUUUUUGAAAACUUUGAGAGGACUAGUGAAAACUUUAGAGAGUUCAAUUAAAAAUUUCAAAACUUUUGUAGGACUUAAUUAGAUUUUUUAAGAAUUAUGGAGGGUCUAGUGAAAAUUUUUAAAAUGUGAAGGAUUAAAUGAUAAUUAUCAAGAUUUUUGAGGACCGAAACCCUCUAUCAAGAUAGUUAGUAUCACACUGUUUCGGUGUACCGUUUUGGAUUUAUUGAUAUUUUUGAAAAAAAAUAUUUAAUAUAUAUAUAGAAACAUUUACAAAUAUCAAAUAUAAAAUAUUCAUGCUUCAGCCGUUGCACAAUGUCACGGUAAAAGUUUUUAUUACUAUUUUGAUAAAAGUUAGAAAGUCUAUAUUUCUAAUAUUAUUCAUGCACAAUAUUCCUGCCAAUGCAAUUAAGAUUAAGCGGAACAGAUCAAUACGAUUGAUAAUGAUUGAAAUUUUAACUCGUGCAGAAAAAGAAAUUGAUUGUACCGAUUUAUUAUUGAAAUGGUACGCACCAACCAGAACCAGUGUGGAACCAACUACAAACUCUAAAUAACAAAAAUAUAUAAAAAUAAAGUUAUACUUUACCCUCUUUAAAAUUUUCUCCUCAAGAAUAAAAUUCUUCAUCCCUAUCCACGUUUGCUGUCACUGUAAGGAUAACUUCUUCCAUUAAUUUGGUAUUGAAUGGACCAGAUUGUGUACUUUUCAAUACUAAGAUCUGACUUGAUCAACGGUGUCAGGGGAUAAAGCUUCAAUUUCGACAGAUAUAUGCCAUUUUCAGUAAAAUUUUUCUUUAAUGGAUUUAAUGAAAAAUAGUUAAAUUGAUGAAAAUAAAUUCAACUUUAUUAUUUACAAUUAUUAAUUAAAUAAGGCUUAAAUAUUUAAUUUUUACUUAAAUAAACUUAUAAGCUUUAAUUUAUAGUUAAAUAAACCCUUUCUAUAAAUCGAAAAUUCAUUUGUAAUAACAAGUUAAUUUUAUGAAAAUUAAAACAUAUAUAAAAGCUUUUUUAAAAAAUUAAACAUAAAAAGGUUACUUUGAGUACAAUAAGGGAUAAAUAUCAGAAUUAUACAUGAACUUUAAUUUAGUGUAAUUAAACACGUGAAACUCUAAUUGUGGUUCAAAUGUAUACUUAAAAUUUUAAUUUUGAUUUAAUCAUAUAUAUUUAAAGAAAUAAAUACAUUAAUUUAUUUUUAUAUUGGAUAAACAUAAUUAUUUAUGUAUGCAAUGUAUAAACAUAAAAUGAUAUUAUAUCAAUAAUUGUGUUAAUAAUUUUAAAAAAUUAGAUCAAAUCAAAAUUCAUAUAUUCAAUUGCACAUUAAAUCAUAGUUCAUGUAUAGUUUUGAAAUUUAUCCCGUAUAAUAAAAAUAUAUAAGAUUAUUUUUAAAAAAAAUGAAGAAUUAAGGCUUUUUAUGCAAUUUUCAAAUAAAAAAUUGAAUUAUCGAAUUUAACAUUAUUUCAAAAAAAAAAACUAAUCCUUUCGAAAAUAAAACAACAAUAUUGGUUAAAUUUAUUUUCUUUCCUUCCAGAUUUAAUUAUUUUUUAAAUAAUAAUAAUAAUAAUAAUAAUAAUAAUAAUAAUAAUAAUAAUAAAACACGUUAGGUUAAAAUAUUUGAUGAAUAGGUCAAAUAGUAAGCCGUUUUAAAAUUCAACGCUGUGUUCUUAAACUGGACUACGUUUACCAAUGAAUCUAAAACAGUUACGUUUACGUAAGUAUGUCGUAGUUUCAAACCUAUUCUCGUGUUGAUUAAAAAAAUAAUUCCGCCAAGUAAUCCAGUUUAAAAAAUUUCAUACAUUUAGUCGGUUUGGUUAAGAAAAUAUUAAAAAUUUAUUGAAUUAAUUUAAUUAACAAAAAAUUCGAGUAGUUCGAGUAAUUUGACCGAUUUUAAAAAUAAAAUAUUUAAGUUUUUAUAUUAAAAUUAUUGUAUAUCCUUAUACGUAUCUAUUUUUAUUUAUAAUAUAAUAUACAAUAAUAAAACUGGUUGAAUCUAUUUAAUUAUCGAUUCUAGUCAAUUGAGUAUUAGCUCGAUUGACACGAGUAUUGUUGCCAAUACAGAAGGACAGGGGUACGAGUGCAUUGAAGCACAUUAUCCUCCUAUUAAAAAAGAAGAAGAUACGAUCAGAACUUAUAAUAAAAUUGUUAAAAAAAUUAUCGAUUCUAAAAAUAGAUAACCAAUCAAAAUAAGAAUGAAUUGAUAUUCUAAGAUUAAUUGACUUCAAAACCAACUAAACUGAAUUAACUAAAUUUAAUCCGUUUCCUAAAAGUAAUAGCACAAAUUAUCUUAGAUAAGUUGAAUCCUUUGUUUUAAAAUGGAUAUUAAUUUUCACCAUUUGAGUGUUGCUCUUUUCAAUGUGAACAUAAGGUUAGACAAUAUAGUAAUCAACAUUAAUACAAAUUAUUAGUAAUUGGUCAAUCUUGUAGGGCUAAGAGGAAACGGUGAUGAGGAGGAGGUGUUGAAGUCUAAGGUCACUCUCACUUUGACGAAGUCGGUCAUUUCUUUUUGGAAUGAUUUUCUCUUCAUUAUUGUCACCAAACUCAACUCUAUAAAAACCCCAUUGUUUUGGAUCCAAUAUUUUAAAAUUAAAAAGAUCAACACAAGAUAUCCAAGAAGAAAGUUAGCUCUACUUGAAUAUAUCGAGAGAUUAGAGAGAGUUUUUGAAGUAACUUGAGUUGCAGAAAGCUUGAAAAAUGAGCACGACAAUGGCGCCACCACCCCCGGUGGUUGAUACUGAAAAAUUAGCACGUUCAUUGGAGGAGACACCGACAUGGGCUGUU